rnacentral:rRNA from 1 species
GACGAACGCUGGCGGCGUGCUUAACACAUGCAAGUCGAACGGAAAGGCCCUGCUUUUGUGGGGUGCUCGAGUGGCGAACGGGUGAGUAACACGUGAGUAACCUGCCCUUGACUUUGGGAUAACUUCAGGAAACUGGGGCUAAUACCGGAUAGGAGCUCCUGCUGCAUGGUGGGGGUUGGAAAGUUUCGGCGGUUGGGGAUGGACUCGCGGCUUAUCAGCUUGUUGGUGGGGUAGUGGCUUACCAAGGCUUUGACGGGUAGCCGGCCUGAGAGGGUGACCGGCCACAUUGGGACUGAGAUACGGCCCAGACUCCUACGGGAGGCAGCAGUGGGGAAUAUUGCACAAUGGGCGGAAGCCUGAUGCAGCAACGCCGCGUGCGGGAUGACGGCCUUCGGGUUGUAAACCGCUUUCGCCUGUGACGAAGCGUGAGUGACGGUAAUGGGUAAAGAAGCACCGGCUAACUACGUGCCAGCAGCCGCGGUGAUACGUAGGGUGCGAGCGUUGUCCGGAUUUAUUGGGCGUAAAGGGCUCGUAGGUGGUUGAUCGCGUCGGAAGUGUAAUCUUGGGGCUUAACCCUGAGCGUGCUUUCGAUACGGGUUGACUUGAGGAAGGUAGGGGAGAAUGGAAUUCCUGGUGGAGCGGUGGAAUGCGCAGAUAUCAGGAGGAACACCAGUGGCGAAGGCGGUUCUCUGGGCCUUUCCUGACGCUGAGGAGCGAAAGCGUGGGGAGCGAACAGGCUUAGAUACCCUGGUAGUCCACGCUGUAAACGGUGGGUACUAGGUGUGGGGUCCAUUCCACGGGUUCCGUGCCGUAGCUAACGCUUUAAGUACCCCGCCUGGGGAGUACGGCCGCAAGGCUAAAACUCAAAGGAAUUGACGGGGCCCCGCACAAGCGGCGGAGCAUGCGGAUUAAUUCGAUGCAACGCGUAGAACCUUACCUGGGUUUGACAUGGAUCGGGAGUGCUCAGAGAUGGGUGUGCCUCUUUUGGGGUCGGUUCACAGGUGGUGCAUGGCUGUCGUCAGCUCGUGUCGUGAGAUGUUGGGUUAAGUCCCGCAACGAGCGCAACCCUUGUCUUAUGUUGCCAGCACGUUAUGGUGGGGACUCAUGAGAGACUGCCGGGGUUAACUCGGAGGAAGGUGGGGACGGCGUCAAGUCAUCAUGCCCCUCAUGUCCAGGGCUUCACACAUGCUACAAUGGCCGGUACAAUGCGCAGCGAGCCUGUGAGGGUGAGCUAAUCGCUUAAAGCUGGUCUUAGUUCGGAUUGGGGUCUGCAACUCGACCCCAUGAAGUCGGAGUCGCUAGUAAUCGCAGAUCAGCAAUGCUGCGGUGAAUACGUUCCCGGGCCU